UACGAGGGGGGCAAAUGUUGUUCGGAAUCACUGGGCGUAAAGGGAGCGUAGGCGGGUUUCUAAGUCAGGUGUUUAUCCCGGGGCCCAACCCCGGACAGGCACUUGAAACUGGGAAUCUUGAAUAGUGGAGAGGUCAGUGGAAUUGGGGUGGUAGCGGUGGAAUGCGUAGAGAUCCCCAAGAACACCAGUUGCGAAGGCGGCUGACUGGACACAUAUUGACGCUGAGGCUCGAAAGCAUGGGGAGCAAACAGG
rnacentral:rRNA from 1 species